rnacentral:rRNA from 1 species
AUUGAACGCUGGCGGCAUGCUUUACACAUGCAAGUCGAACGGUAACAGGGUGCUUGCACCGCUGACGAGUGGCGAACGGGUGAGUAAUACAUCGGAAUGUACCCAGUAAUGGGGGAUAACGCUUCGAAAGGAGUGCUAAUACCGCAUACGCCCUGAGGGGGAAAGUGGGGGACCGCAAGGCCUCACGUUAUUGGAGCAGCCGAUGGCUGAUUAGCUAGUUGGUGAGGUAAAGGCUCACCAAGGCGACGAUCAGUAGCGGGUCUUAGAGGACGAUCCGCCACACUGGAACUGAGACACGGUCCAGACUCCUACGGGAGGCAGCAGUGGGGAAUCUUGGACAAUGGGCGAAAGCCUGAUCCAGCCAUGCCGCGUGUCUGAAGAAGGCCUUCGGGUUGUAAAGGACUUUUGUCGGGGAGGAAAUCCCCAGCGUUAAUACCGCUGGGGGAUGACAGUACCUGAAGAAUAAGCACCGGCUAACUACGUGCCAGCCGCCGCCGUAACAC